ACCAGACUCCUACGGGAGGCAGCAGUGAGGAAUAUUGGUCAAUGGGCGGGAGCCUGAACCAGCCAAGUCGCGUGAGGGAAGACGGUCCUACGGAUUGUAAACCUCUUGUGCCGGGGAGCAACGGGGUCCUUGCGAGGGCCCGAUGAGAGUACCCGGAGAAAAAGCAUCGGCUAACUCCGUGCCAGCAGCCGCGGUAAUACGGAGGAUCCGAGCGUUAUCCGGAUUUAUUGGGUUUAAAGGGUGCGUAGGCGGUUUGAUAAGUUAGAGGUGAAAUGUCGGGGCUCAACCCCGAAACUGCCUCUAAUACUGUUGGACUAGAGAAUAGUUGCGGUAGGCGGAAUGUAUGGUGUAGCGGUGAAAUGCUUAGAGAUCAUACAGAACACCGAUUGCGAAGGCAGCAUACCGGCGCCCGACUGACGCUGAGGCACGAAAGCGUGGGUAUCGAACAGGAUUAGAUACCCUUGUAA
rnacentral:rRNA from 1 species